rnacentral:rRNA from 1 species
GAUGAACGCUAGCGGCAGGCCUAAUACAUGCAAGUCGGACGGGAUUCAGGAGCUUGCUUCUGAUGAGAGUGGCGCACGGGUGCGUGACACGUAUGUAACCUACCUUUAUCAGGGGGAUAGCCUCUCGAAAGAGAGAUUAAGCCCGCAUAAAAUCACAGCACAGCAUUGUGUAAUGAUCAAAUAUUUAUAGGAUAAAGAUGGGCAUGCGGAACAUUAGCUAGAUGGCGGGGUAACGGCCCACCAUGGCGACGAUGUUUAGGGGAUCUGAGAGGAUGGCCCCCCACACUGGUACUGAGACACGGACCAGACUCCUACGGGAGGCAGCAGUAAGGAAUAUUGGGCAAUGGGCGGAAGCCUGAACCAGCCAUGCCGCGUGCAGGAAGACGGCCCUACGGGUUGUAAACUGCUUUUAUACGGGAAUAAACCCAGAUACGUGUAUCUGGCUGAAUGUACUGUAAGAAUAAGGAUCGGCUAACUCCGUG